rnacentral:tRNA from 1 species
AUUUAAGUAGCUCAAAAUAAGAGCGUAACAUUGAAGCCGUUAAAGUGAUAAUAUUAUCCUUAAAUA